GUUCUUUGCAAAGCGAUUGUGAAGAAGGCUGGAAGAACAAGGAGUAGAACUUCAGCGAUAAAGUAGCCAGAUUAGGUCACGAAUUGUGUCUAACCAGGCACCCACCAUCCUUUAGAGCCAGGACACAGCAACGCAACUCCGGACUGUGAACCAUGGACGGUUUUGCUGAGGGAGACCUCUCUGUGGUGGAUUAUGCCUUGUUAGACGAUUGCCCUGAUGAGGAAGAGGGUGCCUUUGCGCCUGAACUUAUGACGGCAAAUUAUGUUCGGGUGACUCAGCUUUACUGUGAUGGAGUGGGUUCACAGUAUAAAGAUUAUGCCCAAACGGAGAGAAAUUUAGAAUUUGACAUCUGCAGCAUAUGGUGUAGUAAACCAGUUUCUGACCUGCACGAUUACUGUGAUGCCAUUAAAAUAUAUAUCUUCUGGCCACUUCUUUUUAAACAUCAGCACACUUCUGUGAUAUCACGAUUGCAUCCCUGUGUGGAGCCCAGUUCUCGCGCUUCUGAGAUAAGUUUGAGGAAAUUACAAUGUCUUGAGUUGAUGGAAGAUAUUGUGGAUUUGGCAAAGAAAGUUUCGGUAAGUGGUAAAAUACAGAGCUCUCCUAACCACAUAUAAAUUAUACAGUAUCAGGCCUGUAUUACCAGUUUAUAGCAGUUGAUAUACAGUGGGCUUAGUUUUUGUAAGGCUGAGGUUAUUCUGUUGUCCGUGGGUGUUCUCCUUAGUGAGUUGAUCAUGGAUAGCAGAUGUCAUGGUUCUGACGUACCAGCAGGGACUUUUCAACUUGGUUAUGUCCUCUUUUUGUGGUUCACUAUGACCAAAAUGUCAUCUGCAAGGCCUG
rnacentral:lncRNA from 1 species